AGAGUUUGAUCAUGGCUCAGGACGAACGCUGGCGGCGUGCCUAAUACAUGCAAGUCGAGCGAGCGGAACUAACAGAUUUACUUCGGUAAUGACGUUAGGAAAGCGAGCGGCGGAUGGGUGAGUAACACGUGGGGAACCUGCCCCAUAGUCUGGGAUACCACUUGGAAACAGGUGCUAAUACCGCGG
rnacentral:rRNA from 1 species